UGUUGACAUUUGACAAUCACAAGAAGCCAUCGGCCCACAUUUUAAAUCAACAACGUAAUUACAAACACAUAAUGGGCAUUCAUGAGAAUCAAAUAAGGCCAUAAAAAGUUCAUCCAUUAAAAAUAUGCGCUUUAAUAAAGCUAAGGCCUAAGGAUUACAAAUAUGCGCUCUACUAAAGCUAAGGCCUAAGGAUGACCAAAUAAUGCUUCAAUAUGGCAUUAACCGUAUAGAGGCCUGCACUGCAAAUGGCUAUAAAUCAGAGGAAUAAUUCUCGCCUUUUCUAGGCAAAUUGGCUUAUGUCUUACAAAGGCUUUGUGGUGCCCAGUCUACCAAAGGACAGACACGUUAACAAGAACACACAAAUUGUCAUUUCUUACUUAACAAACCAGAAGUAGAAAUGAGGCGAAGUGCUUGGUUGGAGUUGUUCAAAACUGAAGAUGAUCUUGAAACCUGCAUUUUCUUUUUCCUCAGGAACUCCAAGGAGUUCUGUAAGCAUUGAGGAGGUGACAUCUCUUUCAAAAUAACAGUCUCUAUCCCCGAGCUUUUAGGCUUUUUCUUUCUAGGAGGAAGCUUUGCCUCAACCUUCUCAUCCUCUGAGUCUGAUAAGAAAACUUUCUUCUCACGAGCUGCAAGCAGUUGAACAAUCUCAUUUGGAAGCAUCCCCCCAGUACCCAAAGGCUCCUUUUCUGUUUCAGUUUCCGUUACAUCCUGUACACUUUCAUCUCCUUUAGAAGGUCGUGGUGUUUUCCUUUGUGCCCAUAAUCUGCGACGUUCUUUACCCUCACGAACAAUUCUUGUUUUAUUUUCUUUUUGAACUUUUCUUAUCUCUUCGUCUUGCUGUAUUCCCUGCAAGGAGAACACAUAUAAGAGCUACGUUUUCUGAAAGCAGCGAAAGAGUUGUGGCUGAUUCUAGGAAUAUAAAGAAAGAGGUCAGAACCUGAUCCGAGGUAAACUCCUCCGGCACGUCCGAAUCAGAAUCCUCCCUCUCCGACAUUUGAUUUUGAUUCUGAUUUCCCUACUUUCUCUUGGGGAACUUCGAUAUCUAGGGUUUUAGAUUAUUG
rnacentral:misc_RNA from 1 species